UACAGAGGUCUCAAGCGUUGUUCGGAUUCAUUGGGCGUAAAGGGUGCGUAGGCGGCGCGGUAAGUCGGGUGUGAAAUCUUGGAGCUUAACUCCGAAACUGCAUUCGAUACUGCCGUGCUUGAGGACUGGAGAGGAGACUGGAAUUUACGGUGUAGCGGUGAAAUGCGUAGAUAUCGUAAGGAAGACCAGUGGCGAAGGCGGGUCUCUGGACAGUUCCUGACGCUGAGGCACGAAGGCCAGGGGAGCAAAUGGG
rnacentral:rRNA from 1 species